rnacentral:rRNA from 1 species
CAGUCGCCGCGGGAAUACGAAGGGGGCUAGCGUUGUUCGGAUUUACUGGGCGUAAAGCGCACGUAGGCGGAUUCUUAAGUCAGAGGUGAAAUCCCAAGGCUCAACCUUGGAACUGCCUUUGAUACUGGGGAUCUUGAGUUCGGGAGAGGUGAGUGGAACUGCGAGUGUAGAGGUGAAAUUCGUAGAUAUUCGCAAGAACACCAGUGGCGAAGGCGGCUCACUGGCCCGAUACUGACGCUGAGGUGCGAAAGCGUGGGGAGCAAACAGGAUUAGAUACCCCCGUAGUCCCUGUCUCUUAUAA